rnacentral:rRNA from 1 species
AUUGAACGCUGGCGGCAGGCUUAACACAUGCAAGUCGAGCGAGCGGCGGACGGGUGAGUAAUGUCUGGGAAACUGCCUGAUGGAGGGGGAUAACUACUGGAAACGGUAGCUAAUACCGCAUACCAUCAGAUGUGCCCAGAUGGGAUUAGCUAGUAGGUGGGGUAAUGGCUCACCUAGGCGACGAUCCCUAGCUGGUCUGAGAGGAUGACCAGCCAGACGGGAACUGCGACACGGUCCAGACUCCUACGGGAGGCAGCAGGGGGGAAUAUUGCACAAUGGGCGCAAGCCUGACGCAUCCAUGCCGCUGGUGUGAGGAAGGCGUGCGGUUUUUAAAACUCUUUCAGCAGGGAGGCGUUACGCGAAGAAGAAGCACCGGCUAACCCCGUGCCAGCAGCCGCGGUAAUUC